AACGAACGCUGGCGGCAUGCCUAACACAUGCAAGUCGAACGAGACCUUCGGGUCUAGUGGCGCACGGGUGCGUAACGCGUGGGAACCUGCCCUUAGGUUCGGAAUAACUCCCCGAAAGGGGUGCUAAUACCGGAUAAUGUCUUCGGACCAAAGAUUUAUCGCCUUUGGAUGGGCCCGCGUUGGAUUAGCUAGUUGGUAGGGUAAAAGCCUACCAAGGCGACGAUCCAUAGCUGGUCUGAGAGGAUGAUCAGCCACACUGGGACUGAGACACGGCCCAGACUCCUGCGGGAGGGAGCAGUGGGGAAUAUUGGACAAUGGGCGAAAGCCGGAUCCAGCAAUGCCGCGUGAGUGAUGAAGGCCUUAGGGUUGUAAAGCUCUUUUACCCGGGAUGAUAAGGACAGUACCGGGAGAAUAGGCUCCGGCGAACUCCGG
rnacentral:rRNA from 1 species